rnacentral:rRNA from 1 species
CCUACGGGAGGCAGCAGUGGGGAAUAUUGGGCAAUGGGCGCAAGCCUGAACCAGCAACGCCGCGUGAAGGAAGAAGGCUUUCGGGUUGUAAACUUCUUUUCUCAGGGACGAAGCAAGUGACGGUACCUGAGGAAUAAGCCACGGCUAACUACGUGCCAGCAGCCGCGGUAAUACGGAGGUGGCAAGCGUUAUCCGGAUUUACUGGGUGUAAAGGGCGUGUAGGCGGGAAAGCAAGUCAGAUGUGAAAACCAUGGGCUCAACCUGUGGCCUGCAUUUGAAACUGGUUUUCUUGAGUACUGGAGAGGCAGACGGAAUUCGUAGUGUAGCGGUGAAAUGCGUAGAUAUGAGGAGGAACACCAGUGGCGAAGGCGGUCUGCUGGACAGCAACUGACGCUGAGGCGCGAAAGCGUGGGGAGCAAACAGGAUUAGAUACCCGAGUAGUC